rnacentral:misc_RNA from 1 species
UUUGUGUCGUAAUAUUCUCUUUUUACUCGACGAAAGAGGCAAAAUCCUUUCAUGGAGUCCCGGUCUCGGUCUCAGUCUAACUCCUUCGAAGAUAUCUUGGAAUCCUCGCUAAAUCUAGAGGAUACCCAUUUCAAAGAAGGCUACGACGAAGGCUAUAGUCAUGGGUUAGUCUCAGGAAAGGAGGAGGCUCGACAAGUGGGCCUUAAGACGGGCUUCGAGGUCGGCGAGGAACUCGGCUUCUAUCGGGGCUGCGUCGACGUCUGGAACUCUGCCGUUCGAAUUGACCCGACUGGAUUCUCGGCCCGGGCUCAGAAGUCCAUCAAGCAAAUGGAAGAGUUGAUUGAGAAAUACCCGCUGUUGAAUCCGGAGGAUGAGAGUGUACAGGAGAUUAUGGACAGUUUGAGGUUGAAGUUUCGGGUUAUAAGAGCGGGUUUGGGUGUGAAAUUGGAUUACGAUGGGUACCCCAAACCUAAAGAGAUCGAGUUUUGAGGAGUUGGUUGAAGUUUGUC